UACGUAGGGCGCAAGCGUUGUCCGGAUUCACUGGGCGUAAAGCGUGCGCAGGCGGCUUCUCAAGUCAGGGGUGAAAGCCCAGAGCUCAACUCUGGAAUUGCCUUUGAGACUGAGAGGCUUGAGUACGGGAGAGGUGAGUGGAAUUCCCAGUGUAGAGGUGAAAUUCGUAGAUAUUGGGAAGAACACCGGUGGCGAAGGCGGCUCACUGGCCCGAAACUGACGCUCAUGCACGACAGCGUGGGGAUCAAACAGG
rnacentral:rRNA from 1 species